CGAAGGGUGCAAGCGUUAAUCGGAAUUACUGGGCGUAAAGGGUGCGUAGGCGGUUGUUUAAGUCUGUCGUGAAAUCCCCGGGCUCAACCUGGGAAUGGCGAUGGAUACUGGGCAGCUAGAGUGUGUCAGAGGAUGGUGGAAUUCCCGGUGUAGCGGUGAAAUGCGUAGAGAUCGGGAGGAACAUCAGUGGCGAAGGCGGCCAUCUGGGACAACACUGACGCUGAAGCACGAAAGCGUGGGGAGCAAACAGGAUUAGAUACCCUGGUAGUCCACGCCCUAAACGAUGCGAACUGGAUGUUGGUCUCAACUCGGAGAUCAGUGUCGAAGCUAACGCGUUAAGUUCGCCGCCUGGGGAGUACGGUCGCAAGACUG
rnacentral:rRNA from 1 species